rnacentral:rRNA from 1 species
GAUGAACGCUGGUGGUAUGCUUAACACAUGCAAGUCGAACGGAAUGCUUCGGCAUUUAGUGGCGGACGGGUGAGUAACGCGUGAGAACAUGCCUAUUGAUUGGGGACAACAGUUGGAAACGACUGCUAAUACCGAAUGUGCUGAAAGGUGAAAGAUUUAUUGUCAAUAGAUUGGCUCGCGUCAGAUUAGCUAGUUGGAGUGGUAACGGCACACCAAGGCGACGAUCUGUACUUGGCCUGAGAGGAUGACCAGGCACACUGGAACUGAGACACGGUCCAGACUCCUACGGGAGGCAGCAGUGGGGAAUUUUCCGCAAUGGGCGCAAGCCUGACGGAGCAAUACCGCGUGAGGGAGGAAGCUUUUUGGAGUGUAAACCUCUUUUAUUAGGGAAGAAUUGAUGACGGUACCUAACGAAUCAGCAUCGGCUAACUCCGUGCCAGCAGCCGCGGUAAU